UACGGAGGGAGCUAGCGUUAUUCGGAAUUACUGGGCGUAAAGGGAGCGUAGGCGGACUGUUAAGUUAGAGGUGAAAGCCCAGGGCUCAACCUUGGAAUUGCCUUUGAUACUGGCAGUCUUGAGUACGGUAGAGGGGGAUGGAAUUCCGCGUGUAGCAGUGAAAUGCGUAGAUAUGUCACAGAACACCAAUUGCGAAGGCAGCUUACUAUGGUAUGAUUGACGCUGAGGCACGAAAGCGUGGGGAUCAAACAGG
rnacentral:rRNA from 1 species